rnacentral:rRNA from 1 species
UAGUCCACGCCGUAAACGAUGUCAACUAGCUGUCUGUGGACUUGAUCCGUGGGUAGCGCAGCUAACGCGAUAAGUUGACCGCCUGGGGAGUACGGCCGCAAGGUUAAAACUCAAAUGAAUUGACGGGGGCCCGCACAAGCGGUGGAGCAUGUGGUUUAAUUCGAUGCAACGCGAAGAACCUUACCAUCCCUUGACAUCCACAGAAGAGACUAGAGAUAGACUUGUGCCUUCGGGAGCUGUGAGACAGGUGCUGCAUGGCUGUCGUCAGCUCGUGUUGUGAAAUGUUGGGUUAAGUCCCACAACGAGCGCAACCCCUAUCCUUAUUUGCCAGCGGCUCGGCCGGGAACUUUAAGGAGACUGCCGGUGAUAAACCGGAGGAAGGUGGGGACGACGUCAAGUCAUCAUGGCCCUUACGGGGAUGGGGCUACACACGUGCUACAAUGGGCGGAUACAAAGGGGCAGCGAGACCGCGAGGGUGGGAGCGGAAUCCCAUAAAGUCCGUCGUAGUCCGGGAUU